CAAACUAUUGCAAGGGUUUCGGCUAACAUAUCAUAUUUCUAUGAAAUUAUUCUUACCUGAUUGGCUUACUCUAUUAUAUCGUGGCAUGGCAUACAUAUGUGUAUGACUAUGUGAAACAUGAUUGGCUUUACUCUAUUAUAUCGUGGCGUGGCAUGGCAAGUUGUCAACAGCUGAAGUAUUAUCUCAUUCAUACAUCUGUUUUAGCACUUCCAGAUGAUAGUGGUAAUUUUGUGGUCUACAGUGAUGCCUCGUUGAAUGGUCUUAGAUGUGUGUUAAUGCAACAUGGUAGGGUGAUUGCCUAUGCUUCAUUGAUGCGAUGAAAGUUAAGCACUCAAAUUAAACCCUCUUGUUGUCAAAUUGUAGUAAUAAUGCAAGUAGGGAUCGUUCUAAACCGGGGAUUAGGAGGGCUUGCUAAAACCUCUAAACUAACUUAAAAACAUAAAAACAAAGUUAAAAACGUUUGAAUAGACUUAAAGGACUCAAAACAGAUUCACAAGACUCAAAACAACUUAAAAACACUCAAAACUGCCUAAAAACACAAACUAGGCAGUUUCUGACUCUAACACAACUUUGGACGAAAUUUUGGGUUUUGACUUGACUCAAAACACUCUAAAACACAAACAAAACAGAUUUUAAACACUUUGAAACAAGAAAGUAAAAUGGGGAUUUUAGUUUUGAUGAAUUUGAAACAAACAAACAAGUUAUAAAACUAGGCAGAUUGUAAAACGAAUUUAAGAAAUAAGAUGAUGGAUGGAUUAGUUAGAGGUCCAUUCUUCACACAUGACACACUUGUAUAUGAAUUGAUUUCCAAUUGCUUUUCAAUAAACUAUGAUGCUCAACACCCCAGAUUAACCGUGAUGCACAAA
rnacentral:lncRNA from 1 species